GCAUGAGAAUUGCUUGAAUCCAGGAGGCGGAGGUCGUGGUGAGCUGAGAUUGCGCCAUUGCACUCCAGCCUGGGCGACAAGAGUGAAACUCUGUCUCAAAAAAAAAAAAAA
rnacentral:sRNA from 1 species